ACUUAAAUUGNAAGAGUUUGAUCAUGGCUCAGAUUGAACGCUGGCGGCAGGCCUAACACAUGCAAGUCGAGCGGUAGCACAGAGAGCUUGCUCUCGGGUGACGAGCGGCGGACGGGUGAGUAAUGUCUGGGAAACUGCCUGAUGGAGGGGGAUAACUACU
rnacentral:rRNA from 1 species